AUUGAACGCUGGCGGCAGGCCUAACACAUGCGAUUCGAGCGGAUGAAGGGAGCUUGCUCCUGGAUUCAGCGGCGGACGGGUGAGUAAUGCCUAGGAAUCUGCCUGGUAGUGGGGGAUAACGUCCGGAAACGGGCGCUAAUACCGCAUACGUCCUGAGGGAGAAAGUGGGGGAUCUUCGGACCUCACGCUAUCAGAUGAGCCUAGGUCGGAUUAGCUAGUUGGUGGGGUAAAGGCCUACCAAGGCGACGAUCCGUAACCGGUCUGAGAGGAUGAUCAGUCACACUGGAACUGAGACACGGUCCAGACUCCUACGGGAGGCAGCAGUGGGGAAUAUUGGACAAUGGGCGAAAGCCUGAUCCAGCCAUGCCGCGUGUGUGAAGAAGGUCUUCGGAUUGUAAAGCACUUUAAGUUGGGAGGAAGGGCAGUAAGUUAAUACCUUGCUGUUUUGACGUUACCAACAGAAUAAGCACCGGCUAACUUCGUG
rnacentral:rRNA from 1 species